rnacentral:lncRNA from 1 species
GAAAAUGUCGCCUGUGAGCGCGCGUAUUUCGCCUGGGUCCCGGAGCAGAAGAGGAGCGCCUUUCAGCGCUUCACUGGAACGUCUUGUAUGCUGCGGAUGCCUUUUGGGCUUUUAAAUUUGGAAGCAGGAUUAGUAUGACGCACUACUGGCAUAAAGAGACACACCCACUUUAUUUUGUAGGACAGGACACACACACACACAGGAAGAGGAAAGCAGUGUGUGACUCUGUGACUGUCAGGACACAGCGAGAGGCAGGAGGCACCACUCGUGAGAGGAUGUUGUGAGACGACCGAGGGGAC